ensembl:lncRNA
AAGACAUAGAGUAGUACUCAGAUGCCUAGAAAGAGGGACAUCUAAGAAGGACUUUGUUAGAAAUCUACAAAAACAUGAGAGGUAUGAAAAAGAUAAGCAGUAUGUGAUCGUUUUCUUUUUUUUCUUUCUUUCUUUUUUUUCUUUUUUUUUAAUGAGAUUUAGGGAGCAUCAAAAGGAAACCUACAGACAAAACCAUCAAAGUGAGAUGGCUUUUAACACAACAUGCAGAGUGAAACUCAAGAAAAGCCAAUGAAGCCAAAGGAUUUAUUCUAAUUUUAUAUUCAUCACCUCCCUGGGCAGCUGGUGCCAAUGCCUCACCACUCUUUCUGAGAAGAAAUUCUUCCUAAUAUCCAACCUGAACCUCCCCUGGCACAUGAACCCACUCAAGAGCAGAAGAUAUCAUUCUAGACGAGAGAUCCAUCACAUCUUCAAACUGUAAAUAUUACUGAGGUAAAGGAUAAGAUUACAGACAGAGAAGAUUCAGGAAAAGAAAAUUCUCUCCCUUGGAUGCCUUUUAACCUAAAGGAUACAGACAAAGAGGAACAUAUGAAACCCAACACCAAAGAAGGAAGGAAACGGUG